GAUGAAGAACGUAGCGAAAUGCGAUAAGUAAUGUGAAUUGCAGAAUUCAGUGAAUCAUCGAAUCUUUGAACGCACAUUGCGCCCGCCAGUAUUCUGGCGGGCAUGCCUGUUCGAGCGUCAUUUCAACCAUCAAGCCCCCGGCUUGUGUUGGGGACCUGCGGCUGCCGCAGGCCCUGAAAACCAGUGGCGGGCUCGCUAGUCACUCCGAGCGUAGUAAUACAUCUCGCUCAGGGCGUGCUGCAGGUUCCGGCCGUUAAAAGCCUUAUUUUACCCAAGGUUGACCUCGGAUCAGGUAGGAAGACCCGCUGAACUUAAGCAUAUCAAUAAGCGGAGGA
rnacentral:misc_RNA from 1 species